rfam:Ricinus communis cultivar Hale ctg_1100012358913, whole genome shotgun sequence.
GUCUCUAAUGAUGAUGUUUAAUUUGUAAAACUUUCGUUCUUCUGAGAAAUUACAUUGCGGAAUUAUAAUGGAGACCUGAACUGAAGAGAC